GACGAACCGUGCGAACGUUGUUCGGAAUCACUGGGCUUAAAGGGCGCGUAGGCGGCCGGGUUGGUCGUGGGUGAAAUCCCCCAGCUUAACUGGGGAAUUGCCUACGAUACUGCCUGGCUCGAGGGAGGAAGGGGCGGCCGGAACUGUCGGUGGAGCGGUGAAAUGCGUUGAGAUCGACAGGAACGCCGGUGGCGAAAGCGGGCCGCUGGCCCUCUUCUGACGCUGAUGCGCGAAAGCCAGGGGAGCAAACGGG
rnacentral:rRNA from 1 species